rnacentral:rRNA from 1 species
AGAGUUUGAUCCUGGCUCAGGAUGAACGCUAGCUACAGGCUUAACACAUGCAAGUCGAGGGGAAACGACAUCGAAAGCUUGCUUUUGAUGGGCGUCGACCGGCGCACGGGUGAGUAACGCGUAUCCAACCUGCCCACCACUUGGGGAUAACCUUGCGAAAGUAAGACUAAUACCCAAUGACGUCUCUAGAAGACAUCUGAAGGAGAUUAAAGAUUUAUCGGUGAUGGAUGGGGGUGCGUCUGAUUAGCUUGUUGGCGGGGUAACGCCACAAGGCGACGAUCAGUAGGGGUCCUGGAGAGGAACGGUCCCCCANAUUGGAACUGAGACACGGUCCAAACUCCUACGGGAGCA